CUUGCACCAGAUUGAAAAGACAUUUGAAUGAGUGGCGGACGGGUGAGUAACACGUGGGUAACCUGCCCAAAAGUGGGGGAUAACAUUUGGAAACAAAUGCUAAUACCGCAUAAAAAUUAGAACCGCAUGGUUCUAAUUUGAAAGAUGGUUUCGGCUAUCACUUUUGGAUGGACCCGCGGCGUAUUAGUUAGUUGGUGAGGUAAUGGCUCACCAAGACAAUGAUACGUAGCCGAACUGAGAGGUUGAUCGGCCACAAUGGGACUGAGACACGGCCCAUACUCC
rnacentral:rRNA from 1 species